UCAGGUUGAUCAGCACAGAGCAUGGUGUC
rnacentral:piRNA from 1 species